CCUACGGGCGGCAGCAGUGGGGAAUAUUGCACAAUGGGCGCAAGCCUGAUGCAGCCAUGCCGCGUGUGUGAAGAAGGCCUUCGGGUUGUAAAGCACUUUCAGCGGGGAGGAAGGCGGUGAGGUUAAUAACCUCAUCGAUUGACGUUACCCGCAGAAGAAGCACCGGCUAACUCCGUGCCAGCAGCCGCGGUAAUACGGAGGGUGCAAGCGUUAACCGGAAUUACUGGGCGUAAAGCGCACGCAGGCGGUCUGUCAAGUCGGAUGUGAAAUCCCCGGGCUCAACCUGGGAACUGCAUUCGAAACUGGCAGGCUAGAGUCUUGUAGAGGGGGGUAGAAUUCCAGGUGUAGCGGUGAAAUGCGUAGAGAUCUGGAGGAAUACCGGUGGCGAAGGCGGCCCCCUGGACAAAGACUGACGCUCAGGUGCGAAAGCGUGGGGAGCAAACAGGAUUAGAUACCCGGGUAGUC
rnacentral:rRNA from 1 species